UGGGUGACGAGCGGCGGACGGGUGAGUAAUGUCUGGGAAACUGCCUGAUGGCGGGGGAUAACUAGUGGAAACGGUAGCUAAUACCGCAUAACGUCGCAAGACCAAAGUGGGGGACCUUCGGGCCUCACGCCAUCAGAUGUGCCCAGGUGGGAUUAGCUGGUAGGUGGGGUAACGGCUCACCUAGGCGACGAUCCCUAGCUGGUCUGAGAGGAUGACCAGCCACACUGGAACUGAGACACGGUCCAGACUCCUACGGGAGGCAGCAGUGGGGAAUAUUGC
rnacentral:rRNA from 1 species